AACGAACGCUGGCGGCAUGCCUAACACAUGCAAGUCGAACGAGACCUUCGGGUCUAGUGGCGCACGGGUGCGUAACGCGUGGGAACCUGCCCUUAGGUUCGGAAUAACUCCCCGAAAGGGGUGCUAAUACCGGAUAAUGUCUUCGGACCAAAGAUUUAUCGCCUUUGGAUGGGCCCGCGUUGGAUUAGCUAGUUGGUAGGGUAAAAGCCUACCAAGGCGACGAUCCAUAGCUGGUCUGAGAGGAUGAUCAGCCACACUGGGACUGAGACACGGCCCAGACUCCUACGCGAGGCAGCAGUGGGGAAUAUUGGACAAUGCGCGAAAGCCUGAUCCAGCAAUGCCGCGUGAGUGAUGAAGGCCUUAGGGUUGUAAAGCUCUUUUACCCGGGAUGAUAAUGACAGUACCGGGAGAAUAAGCUCCGGCUAACUCCGU
rnacentral:rRNA from 1 species